rnacentral:pre_miRNA from 2 species
GAUUUCAACUGAAAAAGUCAUCAACAACAAAUUCGUAUAACUCACCAAGAUCUAAAACUUUUAUAUUUGUCAUUUCUUCAUCCGACAAAGUGUUAAUAACAUUAUUCAUAAAAUUCACAAAUAUGUGUUACAGUUUAUAAAACCAGAUGAGAGAUAUGUGAAUUUUAUGAACAAUGUUAUUAUCACUUUGUCUAAUAAAAAAAUGACCAAAAUAAAAGUUAUAGAUAUUGAUGAGUUAUACAACUUUGUUGUUGAUGACUUUUUCAGUUGAAAUC